UGGGGAAUUUUGGACAAUGGGGGAAACCCUGAUCCAGCCAUCCCGCGUGUGCGAUGAAGGCCUUCGGGUUGUAAAGCACUUUUGGCAGGAAAGAAACGUCAUGGGUUAAUACCCCGUGAAACUGACGGUACCUGCAGAAUAAGCACCGGCUAACUACGUGCCAGCAGCCGCGGUAAUACGUAGGGUGCAAGCGUUAAUCGGAAUUACUGGGCGUAAAGCGUGCGCAGGCGGUUCGGAAAGAAAGAUGUGAAAUCCCAGAGCUCAACUUUGGAACUGCAUUUGUAACUACCGGGCUAGAGUGUGUCAGAGGGAGGUGGAAUUCCGCGUGUAGCAGUGAAAUGCGUAGAUAUGCGGAGGAAAACCGAUGGCGAAGGCAGCCUCCUGGGAUAACACUGACGCUAAUGCACGAAAGCGUGGGGAGCAAACAGG
rnacentral:rRNA from 1 species